UCAAACUUGGUCAUUUAGAGGAAGUAAAAGUCGUAACAAGGUUUCCGUAGGUGAACCUGCGGAAGGAUCAUUACAGAUAUACAUUUCAUAUAUCUUCCAACCCCCUUCAUUGUGAACUUUUGGUGUAAGUCUAGCUAAAGCCCCUAUCUAGAUAGGGGCACUGCCCCUAUUUAAUAGGGGUAGUUAGCCUUACAAUCCAAUUUUUUUCAUAUACACAACUACUUUGAAUGUACUAUGCAUGAUGAUUAUUAUAAUAAAAAUAACUUUCAGCAACGGAUCUCUUGGCUCUCGCAUCGAUGAAGAACGCAGC
rnacentral:misc_RNA from 1 species